rnacentral:misc_RNA from 1 species
UCACUGCUUGCGCAGGCAGUCUCUUUAGAGUCCCCACCAUAAUGUGCUGGCAACUAAAGAUAGGGGUUGCGCUCGUUGCGGGACUUAACCCAACACCUCACGGCACGAGCUGACGACGGCCAUGCAGCACCUUACUGGCGGUGUAUUGCUACAAAGUGAGCUUUCACCAACGGUCCACCAGCAUUCUAGCCCAGGUAAGGUUCCUCGCGUAUCAUCGAAUUAAACCACAUGAUCCACCGCUUGUGCGGGCCCCCGUCAAUUCCUUUGAGUUUCAACCUUGCGAUCGUACUCCCCAGGUGGUAUGAUUAAUAGGUUCCCUACGGCACUGAAGCAUUGCUGCCCCAACACCAAGCAUACAUCGUUUAUGGUGUGGACUAC